GCUAAUUCCGUGUCAGCGGACCGGGGGAAAAUGAGGUUCGGAGCUUUAAUAGGAAUUACUGGGCGUAAAGCGUGCGCAGGCGGUUUUGUAAGUGAGAUGGGAAAGCCCGGGGCUCAACCGAGGAAUAUGAUUUCGAACUGGCGAACUAGAGUCGUGUGGAGGGGGGUAGAAUUCCAGGUGUAGCGGUGAAAUGCGUAGAGAUCUGGAGGAAUACCGGUGGCGAAGGCGGCCCCCUGGACAAAGACUGACGCUCAUGCACGAAAGCGUGGGGAGCAAACAGGAUUAGAUACCCCAGUAGUC
rnacentral:rRNA from 1 species